rnacentral:rRNA from 1 species
UACAGAGGGGCAAGCGUUGUUCGGAAUUACUGGGCGUAAAGGGCGCGUAGGCGGCCUUCUAAGUCGAACGUGAAAUCCCCGGGCUCAACCCGGGAACUGCGUCCGAUACUGGAAGGCUUGAAUCCGGGAGAGGGAUGCGGAAUUCCAGGUGUAGCGGUGAAAUGCGUUGAUAUCGAUAGGAACUCGGUGGCGAAGGCGGCGAUACUGGACCACUUCUGACGCUGAGGCGC